GAAAGAAGCCUGGCGGAGGGGGCGGGACCAGGAUCCGAUUCCGGGUCAGGAGCUGCCGGCAGUCACUUCCUUUAACAAGUGACCCGUCCUACUGUUCCCAGAUGGGGUUGGUGACGAGGUCUAAAUAAGGGAUUUAUUCAUUUGAGAGAGAGCACAAGCAGGGGGAGAGGCAGAAGGAGAGGGAGAAGAAGACACCCUGCUGAGCUGGGAGCUCGACAUGGGGCUCGAUUCCAGGAUCCGGAGAACACGACUCAAGCCGAAGGCAGAUGCCCAACCAUCUGGGCCACCCAGGCGCCCCAGCACUUUACAUUUUAGAUUUUCACAAUAACCCACUGAGAGAUUUCAAUGGAAUAUACCUGACAGCUGAUGGCUUUCUUCAAAUAUUCCCAACGCUGAAGUGAAUUGUGAUGCUUCUGGAAGUUUUGCUGAAGAUUCUCAUGAAUUGGUGAUGAAUCAUUAAGGAACACACUCAUU